UGUCAAGGGAUGCGAAUCGAACCCACGACCUUCCGCUUACCGGGCAGAUGCCAUGACCACUAGGCUACCCUGGAC
rnacentral:tRNA from 1 species